rnacentral:rRNA from 1 species
CGUAGUAGUUGACUCCGUGGCUACGAGGACGACGCUGGCGGCGUGGAUUAGGCAUGCAAGUCGGACGGUAGGGCUUUAUCGUAAGAUAGAGUUUGAGAGUGGCGAACGGGUGAGUAACACGUAGGAAUCUACCCUUAAGACGGGGACAACCCAGGGAAACUUGGGCUAAUACCGGAUGAGAGUGCGAGAGAUUGCAUUUAAAAGGAUGGCGAAAGUUGUCGCUUAGGGAUGAGCCUGCGGUCUAUUAGUUAGUUGGUGAGGUAAGAGCUCACCAAGGCGAUGAUAGAUAGGCGGCCUUAACGGGUGGUCGCCCACACUGGGAUUGAGAUACGGCCCAGACUCCUACGGGAGGCAGCAGUCGAGAAUAGUCUACAAUGGCCGGAAGGCUGAUAGUGCGACGCCGCGUGAACGAGGGAGCCCUUCGGGGUGUAAAGUUCUUUUCUAUACGAGCAGUGCUAUAUAUAUUCAAAGUAUAUAUAGAGGGAUAGUAGUAUAGGAAUAAGCAACGGCUAAACUCCGUGCC